CAGCGAUCUUGCGCAGAGGAUUAAACCAGGAGAAUGGACUGCGAUCUACAGCAAGGACAUCAAAGGUCUCCCAAGACAGGAAGAUGGCAAUGCCUGUGGGAUCUUCAUGUUAAUGUAUGCUCUUUACAUUGUGCUGGGGGCAGAUUUUGACUUCACAACUGGUGACAUGGACACAAUCAGGAAAUGGUGGUGCCUGUUGCUCCUGUCUGGUCAUUCAGUUGUCAGAUAAUAGCAGAUAAGGAUAAGGAGGAGGCAAAGAGGCCCAGGACAAUCCCUCUUCAACAGUCGGUUAGUGUGAAUGAAGUAAACUUGAUGCCUCAAAAUACUACAAACUGUCUACAUAAUGAAUUCUCAAAAUAAGUGUUAAAUGUGU